UACACGAUGAGAGAGAGGUUUUCUGAAUUGAUAGAAGGCGAGAGAAAUGUGAGAGAGAUUAAGAAAAAGUGUUUGGGUUAAAGCUACUCUAUGUAGAAGGGUAGUCACGUAUAAUUUUUCUUUUGGUUAAUAAUGAAUUUUAUUUCACCUGUAUUUUUUGUUUGAUUCUUUUUUUUUUUUUAUAUGAUUGUGCCGGUUUUUGCUGAGAAGGUAGGCUUAUGGUAAAAUCUAAUUUUAUGUUUCUAUUGCGAAAUCCUAACAAUCGAUACCGAAGCGAGUACCAGGUCGACAAUAGUCGACAUCAGAGCGAAUAGCAGAAUCUCAAAAUCUGGUAUCAAAGCGAGUACU
rnacentral:lncRNA from 1 species